rnacentral:rRNA from 1 species
CAACCUGCCGUCUACUCUUGGACAGCCUUCUGAAAGGAAGAUUAAUACAAGUUGGCAUCAUGAGUCCGCAUGUUCACAUGAUUAAAGAUAUUCCGGUAGACGAUGGGGAUGCGUUCCAUUAGAUAGUAGGCGGGGUAACGGCCCACCUAGUCUUCGAUGGAUAGGGGUUCUGAGAGGAAGAUCCCCCACAUUGGAACUGAGACACGGUCCAAACUCCUACGGGAGGCAGCAGUGAGGAAUAUUGGUCAAUGGGCGAGAGCCUGAACCAGCCAAGUAGCGUGAAGGAUGACUGCCCUAUGGGUUGUAAACUUCUUUUAUAAAGGAAUAAAGUCGGGUAUGGAUACCCGUUUGCAUGUACUUUAUGAAUAAGGAUCGGCUAACUCCGUGCCAGCAGCCGCGGUAAUACGGAGGAUCCGAGCGUUAUCCGGAUUUAUUGGGUUUAAAGGGAGCGUAGAUGGAUGUUUAAGUCAGUUGUGAAAGUUUGCGGCUCAACCGUAAAAUUGCAGUUGAUACUGGAUAUCUUGAGUGCAGUUGAGGCAGGCGGAAUUCGUGGUGUAGCGGUGAAAUGCUUAGAUAUCACGAAGAACUCCGAUUG